rnacentral:rRNA from 1 species
AUUGAACGCUGGCGGCAGGCCUAACACAUGCAAGUCGAACGAGUGGCGGACGGGUGAGUAAUGUAUGGGAAACUGCCUGAUGGAGGGGGAUGACUACUGGAAACGGUAGCUAAUACCGCAUACUAUGAGAUGGGCCCAGAUGGGAUUAGCUAGUUGGUGGGGUAACGGCUCACCAAGGCGACGAUCCCUAGCUGGUCUGAGAGGAUGACCAGCCACACUGGAAAUGAGACACGGUCCAGACUCCUACGGGAGGCAGCAGUGGGGAAUAUUGCACAAUGGGCGCAAGCCUGAUGCAGCCAUGCCGCGUGUAUGAAGAAGGCCUUCGGGUUGUAAAGUACUUUCAGCGGGGAGGCGUUACCCGCAGAAGAAGCACCGGCUAACUCCGUGCCAGCAGCCGCGGUAAUAC